rnacentral:lncRNA from 1 species
UUUUGUUUUCUAUUUUAUCCUCAAUAUUUUCUAUUUUAUCCUCAUUUUGUUUUAUUUUAUCCUCAUUUUGUUUUAUUUUAUCCUCAUUUUGUUUUAUUUUAUCCCUCAUUUUGUUUUAUUUUAUCCUCAAUAUUUUUUAUUUUUUCAUCUCUAAAUAUAGUAUUGAGGAGUACAAAAAUGACAGUACCUAUUAAUAUAAAAAUUUGGAGGUAUCCUUCAUUCCUCAAUGCCCCUACUUCUUCAGCUGCCAUAUAAUUGUCAAAGAAUGUAGUACUCAUUUUUAUAUGUAUAUUUUGUAAUUUCACAAAACACGUGGGGAGCAGGGCAAAGCAACAAACUUUCCACAGGGUUUUUUUUUUUUUUCUAAUCCAGGAAGUUGUUCCUUAAGGGAAGGAUAUUUAGAAACAGUUCUUCCAGCCAGGACUUUAGAGUCCUGUUGCUGAGAUUUAAAAACAGCUGUUUUCUGUCUAUCAGAGUCACACAGCUGGGAAGUAUCUGAGGUCCGAUUUGAACCCAGGACCUUCUGCCUCUAAGGCUGGCUCUCAAUCCGCUGAGCUACCCAGCUGUCCCUUAAGAUUAAAGGGAAGAAAAAGAAAAAACUGCUGAUUCCAAUUUAACUUAAGGAGAAAAGAGAAAAAGUUUUUUAUACUCACGUGUUCUAGCAGCUGUGUCUUUAAGCCAAGUUUUUUUUUUUUUUUAAAAAAAGGACUAAGUGGUGAAACAGUAUAGUAAAAAGGCAAAGAAAAAGUUUUAUUGAGAGGAUUCUUUAGACUCCCGUGUGGUCAGCCACAAUGUUACAAGGGAAUCACUUUAAAAGACUGAUAUAUAUUAAUUUAAGGUCGCCAAGGAAUCAGCUAUGUAAUUCCUAAAUGAAAAACUCAAGUCAGCCGUCAGCCUUUUUUGGAGUUUAAUUACAAUAGGAGCAAGAAAGGAAUUAGAGAUAUAUAGAGAGAGAAAGGGGAGAGAAGGGAAUAGGGCUUAAAUACCCCUUCUGUUUAGGCUGGGCCAAAAGGCCCAAGCCCUUAGAUAGCUGGGGCAAAGAAAGGAGAUCAGUCC